AUGAACGCUGGCGGCGUGCCUCAUACAUGCCAGUCGAGCGAACAGACGAGGAGCUUGCUCCUCUGACGUUAGCGGCGGACGGGUGAGUAACACGUGGAUAACCUACCUAUAAGACUGGGAUAACUUCGGGAAACCGGAGCUAAUACCGGAUAAUAUAUUGAACCGCAUGGUUCAAUAGUGAAAGACGGUUUUGCUGUCACUUAUAGAUGGAUCCGCGCCGCAUUAGCUAGUUGGUAAGGUAACGGCUUACCAAGGCGACGAUGCGUAGCCGACCUGAGAGGGUGAUCGGCCACACUGGAACUGAGACACGGUCCAGACUCCUACGGGAGGCAGCAGUAGGGAAUCAUCCGCAAUGGGCGAAAGCCUGACGGAGCAACGCCGCGUGAGUGAUGAAGGUCUUCGGAUCGUAAAACUCUGUUAUUAGGGAAGAACAAAUGUGUAAGUAACUAUGCACGUCUUGACGGUACCUAAUCAGAAAGCCACGGCUAACUACGUG
rnacentral:rRNA from 1 species